CACCUGUGCUCUAAGCUAUGUUCUAAAAGCAUGUUGUAAUCACGCUGGUGUGAUCGUACGCGUCAAAGCGUCAUAUUAGUCACCAACAAUGUGUUACAGGCGGUGGCAUACUUCUGCUGUACUUAUUGAGCCCCAUUCCUCCUAUAAUAUCUUUAUUAUGAAACCAACACACAUGGAGACAGUAUUUUAAAUAAAGGACCAUUAGCACAGAUGAGACAAUAUUUUCUCCUUUCUUACAGUACAGAAAUGGUUCCCCUGAUUAUUAAAGUUCUGGUGGCGACAGCAGCUGCAGGAAGUUCUAUGUUCUGCAAACUCACUCAGGAGAAGGAAGAUCAACUGUGUUUUGGGACUUUGGGAGAAUCUUUGUCCUUCCUUCUUGUUGCAAACCAAGAUAAAGAAAUAUUAACAUUGAAGAAAGCCCCGACGUCAAAGGCAGUGUUGUCUCACGUCUGUUUGCCUCAUGGAGAGACCAUGGUCAACUGUUCCUCAGAGGGGGACAGUCUUCAGUUCAGCUGGACCCUAAACAGUCAGAUUCUUACCAGGCCAUUAGCCUCUGUUCACAACCACAGCAGUGUAAUCACCCAGAAGACUGAUGUGACAGGAGCCCUGACCUGUAUGGUUCAGAAUGAAGUUAGUAGCAGCAGAUCCACUAUGACUCUCCCAGCUUGUCCAGCUUUGUUUUGCGUGAAGAAGUAACCAGAAGAUCAAUGAAGCAUUUGGAAUUCAAACUGUAUUUUUUAAAUCAUGCUGUUUUAAAAUAAAAUUUUCCGUAGAAUAUGCUUCAUAUCUGAUGUACAGAAUGCAGUUUCUCUAUGAAUUACAAUAGAGUUUUCAAUUUGAUGUAUGCCUACAUACAGUACAUACUUUUAAUUGACUGGAAAAUGUGUACUAAUGUCAGUGAGUUAAAAAUAUAUAUAAGUGGGUCAACAGAUCCACAGGACAUUAGAAGACGUUUUGACUGUGUAUUCGGGUUACAAUGAAGUUGUUAGCAGAAGUGCUUAUUUGUCUAACAAUUAAUUAUGACCUCGACUGAUAGCAGAGAAACACAUAGACAGGAAUCAUAUUUUCAUAGGAUUUAAAGACACUGGGGGUUAACCCCAAACCUGGUGACCUUCUACAUGAAGAUGUUUUUUACAGAAAAAUGUCAUUGUGGAACAAAUGCUAAUUAAUAUUAAAAUAUUUUUGCUCAGGUGUCAUUAGAAUGUAAAAUGUUUAAGACAAACAACUUCACACAACAGCUUUACCCAACUGCAUUACAUAAUGUUUCCAGUCUUUUGUUGCCUCUGUGGCAACUUUUUUGAAACGUGCUGAGGUCGGAAGCCUGACUGAAAUUUGUCUAAAAGACCGCUUGAGUUUACAACAUUGCUUAGCUGAUUGGAGAAAACCUUCUCAAUGAUCUUGGCUAUAAAAGGAAGAUUUGAUGCAGGUCAAUAGUUGUUCAGUAUAGAUGUAACCAGUGUUCUCUUUUUAAUAGAGGCUUAAUGCCAGCUGUUUAUAGAGACAUUUGGACAAUGCCUGAUUGCAGAGAGUCGUUAGCUGCAGAUCAAUUGUUAUACAGUUAAAAGUAGUUUUAAAAAAGUCAGAGUGUCGAGACAAGAUGUGGGUGUUUUAAGAUGUCAAACUGUUUCUUCUAAAGCUUUUUGAUCGAUUGUAUUAAAUUGCGACAUAAUAACCUAACUAUUUCAUGGAGGUCGUAGUGACAGUACAGUGUCAUUGUUUGACUGUGUAGUUCUGAUGGUCAGUCUAAUACUUUUUAUAUUUUCACCAAGAAAAAAGAAAAUUCAUUAGAUUUUUCCAUGGACAAAAGUUCUGAUGCUAUCUGCUUUAGGGGGUUUGUAAGCUUGGUGACCAUGGCCAAUAGAGUGCAGGUAUUGGUGAUGUUCCUCAUCAAUGAAUGUAGCUGCCUAGCCCUGCGUAACUCAUAGUUGAAGCUUCAAAGGAAUUGUUUAUAGAUCAUAGUGGAUUUGAAGUAUAUUUUUUCUCCACUUACCUUUCCUAAAUUCUCUAAGGCUUAUGGAGAAUAUAAUAUGUACAGACUAUGAAUCUGGGGAUAUGCUGAAAUUAAAUGUUUUAUUGGAAAGAACAAAAAAGUGCUCCUUCUUCUGGGACUCAUCAAAACAAGUCUUUAAAAUG
ensembl:lncRNA